CUUCUGCUUUGGUGUGACCCAUUCUUUGGGGAUAGGGUCCUACCUCAGUACCACAAACCAGGGAGAAAUGUGUUCUUUUCAGACACUCUGAGACUACACAAAACAGGAAAGAAAGGAGAGCGUCCUAGCAUUGAGAGUCAGUAAGAAGAGAAUCCAUGCCGGAGAAUACAGAAUACUGACUCUUCAAGUGUCAUACCUGUCCCACAAGAAGUUUCCAUCUUCACAGCUACGUCUAGAGCAAUGUCUGCAUGUCUGUGUAUACAUUUAUCCGAAUCAUCUGUAUGUGUAACAAUACCCAAGCACGUUUUCCUUAUUUUCAAGUUUAUGAAGGCAAUGGGAGACUUGCAGUGGACAGAAUUUUCAUUUCCAGGUAAAGACCUUCCUGUGGUGCUGAGAAUGAGAUCGAGGUCUGAGGAUGCUACACCAAUACUCUAUUGCUACACCCACAGCGGUGACCCCUGUGUAACUGUAGCAGAAUGCCGCUCUACUGGGGGGAACUGCCUGAAGGGAUGGGGUCAGAGCUUCUCGAAGCGGAGCCCCAGGCAGUCUCCUGGAGAGAAGCCCGAUCCAUGAGAGCCUCCAGAAGAUCCCUGCGCUGGCGAGCAAUAUGUUCUGUUUUCUUUAUGCUUUUCUGCGUAAUCUGUUUAAUCACUUUGCUAUCUGUUUCCCAAGCACAGGCUAACCCAGAUUCUAAAAAGGAAGCUGGCAAUGCCACCAGCCCUGAGAUGAAUAACCCACUGCUCGAGGCACCUCCAUUUAUCCAGGCUGUUUAUACAGAAGCUGGAUACAAUAAGACUAGUAAUCAAACUCUGGGAGAUUUUCUUAAUGUUGUGAAACGAAGGGAACUCCUUAUAGAACACUUCCCGGAGGAUAUACUCAGUAUCUGAUUAAGGGGAGAUGGUGGACGGCGCCACGAUGGGUGCCGGAGCAAGGAAACUAUUUAGAGCCCCUAUUAUAUACGGGAGGCUAUGAUGAGCGGGGUUACAGAUGGGUCAACCAUAAAGGCAAGAGAGUUCUUUGGAAUUCAUUAAACUUCAUGGAAUGGUUACGUAGAAGCAGGAGACCAUGGUGUAUUUAUAAUGAAAAGGAGAGACGAGCCAUUUUAGAAAAUAUGAUGACAGUCUUAAGAUACUGGCAUGCUUGCUUAUGCAAGCAGUUGUGGGAAGCCUUGUAUCGCAGAUAUGAUUCCUUUAAAGAACACAUUGCUAAGUACAUCAGAGGGGAGCUAAAACUAUCCAUGUAGAAAGAGGAAGUUGACACUUGUCUCUAAAGAUAUGCUAGACAUGAUUCAUCGAGCAGCCAGUUCAUGACCAACCGCAAAGCCACAAAUAAUUGUAUUAAUAGAUAAACUUAUGCUAUGUCUGUGUAUUAAUAGAUAAACUUAUGCUAUGUCUGAUUUGGGGCUGGAAACUUUUCGCUGAGAUGUUCAAAUUCUAAAAAAUCAUGAUUCAGCUGUAACAUGAAUUGUAUUUUUUCUAUCCUUGUUCCUUGUUUCUAUCACUAUAUAAGAGAAGUUUAAACUUCAGUAAAAUUACAGCAGUUCACUAAGA